UUUGGAGAAGACAUUUAACCUUUCUGAGCCUCAGUUUCCCCAUCAGGCGAUGGGGCUAAAUGGUUGCUAACAUCUCUUCCAGCUCCAGCCUCCUCUGACCGAAUGAGAUAAUGUGUGAAAACACUUUGUGAACACUAAAGCCGGACGAAUGCCGGGAGGAUUAUUAUUACGAUUCUAAUCAAUCCUCUUUUCUCCACAUGGAUCUUGGCUGUUUAGCGCCAGCAAGCAGGCUAAAGAGGACCAAAAGCGAGAAAGCUUAGCGGAGAAGGAAAAGCUCUGUGGCAUGGACAUAAAAACCCCUGCAACUCUAGAAACAUUCGGUCUCCGUGUGGCCCCCAGGCCUGAAAGAAAGGAAAAAAGCAAGGUGUAGCUGAUUAGCAAGUUAAUUAUUUCAGUACCCCAAGGGUUCCAGUGUGGUGGAGACAGCACAUGGCACCACGCUCUGGAGAGCCAACUUCCUGCCUUGAGCAGUGUGAAGAUGAUGCGAUCCAGUUUUUGGUGCUGACAUUCAGCUACCCCCCAAGCAGGUUGGCCGAUACCCCUGCAGGUGGAGAGGGGCCUGGGGCUGACUGGAAAGAUGGCUCUGAUGACCGCUUCGUUGCCGGAGGACUUGCAGGUGGCGGAGGACUGGGGGGAUGGGGGUGGAUCCAGUCCAUGUUCCACUUGUACUUGGCCAUCUUUAGUCUUUACAUCUCGGAGGGAGAGAAGUUGGAGAAUCUUAGAAUGCAGGAAGGCAGGUGUAGGGAGUUCCUUGUCUUAAUUGUGGUACUUCCAUGCCCAAACAAAGCCCAGGGGUGGUAAAAACAGAUCCAAGCAGGGCUUUGCGGUUCUAUGUGGUUAUUUCAGCCCUGGUUCCUGGGAGAUGAAGAAGACUUUUCCAAGUUUUGAAAAGACCAUUUCAAAAAGUGCCAUUUAUUCAUAAUCUUUAGGAAGUAAAUGCAACAUCUUUGACUGCCUGGUGGCUGGCAAGGGAGUAUUUUGAGCUCGCAUGGCCCUCAUUUGUGGUUCUACCAUUUUCUUGCUCAUGUUCCAGUCUGGGCUUGCAGAGAUGAAGACCCCAGCCUCCCCGGCUCCUGAGAUUUUUACGUCUCUCAGGCCAUUCGUAGUGUAGCCUGCAUUGUAGGCAUUGGCCGGCACACAUUUUGAAGGGGGAGCUGGCACGCCUGUAACUAUGGGCAAGGUUGUUCUCAUUUGGGCUCAAGAGAAGAUAGAGUUUCCCCUUAAAAAAGAGGAGCAAGGAACCAUUUCUAUGAAUCUUUUAAUGAAGGAUUUACUACUAAUUUGAUAAGUUCAUUGCUCUUUUUACUCGUUCUGAAUGAAUAACUUCAUCAGUCAACCCGAGGGUCUGCAGAACCUAUAAAAAUGCUUCCUUUGGUCUUCUUGCUUUAACACAUGCUGGGGCUCGGGCCUGCCUCUGACAGACUGGGGAGGAGUAGAAACAUUCCAGAGACCAGGUCUUACAGUGUUAUCUCUUCCCCACCCCAAAUCCUCACCCUCCAUUUUAUCUCUCAAAUACAAAUGCAGGGACCUCCUAGGGAAGUGUGAAGGGAUAGGUUUUAAUCAGGUUUGGGGAAGGAAGGGGAAUGAGUUGAACCUAAAGAAAGAGGGGGACAGUUGGAAUUUUUAACACCCCUCUGUUAAUACUUCUCAUGAGUUAUAUAUUAUAUCUUACAAAGCAUGCAUCUGUCACCGUAA